UACGAAGGGGGCUAGCGUUGCUCGGAAUUACUGGGCGUAAAGCGCACGUAGGCGGUCUUUUAAGUCGGGGGUGAAAUCCUGGAGCUCAACUCCAGAACUGCCUUUGAUACUGAAGAUCUUGAGUUCGGGAGAGGUGAGUGGAACUGCGAGUGUAGAGGUGAAAUUCGUAGAUAUUCGCAAGAACACCAGUGGCGAAGGCGGCUCACUGGCCCGAUACUGA
rnacentral:rRNA from 1 species